rnacentral:rRNA from 1 species
AUUGAACGCUGGCGGCAGGCCUAACACAUGCAAGUCGAGCGAGCGGCGGACGGGUGAGUAAUGUAUGGGAAUCUGCCCGAUAGAGGGGGAUAACUACUGGAAACGGUGGCUAAUACCGCAUACUAUCGGAUGAACCCAUAUGGGAUUAGCUAGUAGGUGGGGUAAGGGCUCACCUAGGCGACGAUCUCUAGCUGGUCUGAGAGGAUGACCAGCCACACUGGAACUGAGACACGGCCCAGACUCCUACGGGAGGCAGCAGUGGGGAAUAUUGCACAAUGGGCGCAAGCCUGAUGCAGCCAUGCCGCGUGUGUGAAGAAGGCCUUCGGGUUGUAAAGCACUUUCAGCGGGGAGGCGUUACCCGCAGAAGAAGCACCGGCUAACUCCGUGCCAGCAGCCGCGGUAAUUC